UAGAGAGCGGGUGGUCCCAUAGGGGGUGUUUGCUUCUGUAUUUGUUCCAUUUAAGUUUUUUCUAUUCGCACGCCAACCUGUAGGGUAUCUAUCUUGCCAUUGUUUUAGGGUACUUUGAUUUGCUUCCAGUGAUUAUUUAGACGUGUAGCAUCUGAGUGUUGUUUCUCUCUCCUUUCAUCUUUGCUGCUGUCCAUUCUCUUAGACGGGUUCAGACAUAAAAUGUGAACAGACAACCCUAUGUAAGGAACACAACAACUGUGACUGAGUUCAUUCAAAAUGCAGUUCUUGCUGCAAUGGUUUCUUGUGAAGAGAAUUAUCUUCUGUGGGUUUAGUAAUCCAGGGGGGAAAUGCAUGCUGACAAUCAUCAGAAAAAUCUUGAACAUCGCUACGAAGUGAAACUCAUAAGAUCGUAUACCGAAUAGAUGAAACGAAUCUUUACUUUGCACCGUCUCAGCUUCUUAUUCACUAGCUGUAGUUUUUAAUCUUCAUUUGCACGAAAAAGUGAGAACAUCUUCACUGGAUUUUUUUGCUGCUUUGUAAAUGUGUGUACAGUAUGGUCUGAAACCCUGCCUGUGAAUAUACUUCCACAUAGACCUAACAGAAAACUUUCCAGAUUUUCCAAAAGCCAAGACACUUGAUCCGCCUGAUGGGUCAGCUGAAUCCAUCUCCAUUCUCUCCAACUUUAAAGUUCUUCUCGAAAUAGGCUUUCAACCAACAUGUCCAUAUACAACGAGCAGCAAGUCACCAAGAUAAAAUAGUCUGUCGGGGCAUCAGCACAAAGCACACCCAACUUUAAUGUUCUUCAUAAUAGAAGACAAGAAACUUGAGAAUGCUAUUCCCUCCGCUCACAAAUAUAAGAUGUUUCAACUUUUUUGUGAACUGGAUGUAUCUCUACUCUUAUAAAAGACCGAGUUGGUGAUAAUGGUGUGCCUGCUAUCGUGUAAUAUAGACCGUCCGAUCUAUAUCUGACGGAUCGAAAGCAAACUAUGGCAAUUUUGUAAAAAGAUACCCGCACCUCUCCACACUUGCAGAUAAGGACUUCCCUCGUUCAUCCUUACGCACGGGCAUCUUGCUAGUAUAAACACGUUUUACUGUGUUUGUUCACUCAUCUCAGUCCGUAUGUAGCCCAUAUUGAAAUCCAAAACAUCUUAUAUUUGUGAACGGAGGAAGUGCAUUCUAUAUUUUCGCCUGAAAACAGCAUCUACUCACUGAAAAUGUUUAAAGAUGAAAGGAAGUAACUUCAGUGGUUCAUUAAGAUAACUUGCAAUCAUGGCAAAAACUAAGUGUGAUACCAUAACAAACAUGUACUUUUCUACUGUUCUGUUCAGGUAGAUGCUUGUUACUUUGAGAUCUCCCCAUCAAGAUGAGUCAGCGAACCUGGCCUUAACCUGAGAGCAGAUACUAUUCCCCAAGUAUUUCCUUCUUGACAUUUCUUGGCUCUUGCCAUACCAUUCCCAUGUUCUAGUUUCCGUCAUAAUUCCCAUAGAAGGUUAGUAUCUUAGACCGUGGACAUUGAGAUUUAAUCUUUUAAAACAGGGUGCACUGUUCACGAUUGACUCUUAUUUUUUCUUAUCUCGGUCGCAAGGAUGAUUUUGAAAAUGAUUUUGCAUGUUUGUUUACUUCACAGAUGAACUUUGCGAGAGUAUUUGGAGUAUUAUCUCAGAUUACAAAGGAGGGCACACCAUCCCUAAACCCAAAGCAAUUUCCCACAGGAGGAAAAUAGGAUGAUAUCCAAAAACUGAGGUGUUGAUUUGAUGGAGUCUGCCAUUUCUUGUGAAACUAGAUGAUACCCCGCGCGUUGCUACAGUAACUUUGUCAAAAAAAUGCGUAAAUAGUUGCUACAAAAUAACUAAAUCUAAUGAAAAAAAUAUAAGCUUGAAAAUCAAUAAAAAAAGUCGCUAAAAAUAGAGUAUAAACCUUUGAAUUACUGUUAAAAAUAUCAUUUCAAACAAAAAAUGUGAUGACUAACAUGCAUGUAUGAUUUGGCAGCGUUACAUGCACAAACUAAUGCAAAAAUAAUUCUAAUUUAUAAGUUCACUUAUGUGGCAGAUUUUGCAUGACUUAGUGGGAGAGAAGACUUAAAUGCAUGCAUGGCCUUAGUGGGGACGUUCGUUUAUGACAGAUUUUGUAUGGCUUAGUGGGAGAGACGACUUAAAUGCAUGGCCUUAGUAGGGAUAUUGAGGUGGACACUUUACAUGUUGAGAGAAUUGUGACCAACUUUUUAAGAAUGUAAGAUACCACCUCCGUCCUGGUUUACUAGUCCCUCUCAUAUUUUAAUUCAUAUUUUGAUCAUAAUUUUAACUAAUAAAAUAUAAAUUACAUGUGGUAAAAAUAAUAUCAUUGAAAACUACAUUCAAAUACAAAUAUAACAAUAUAAUUUUUGGUGACAUGCAUUAACAUUUUGCUAGUUAAAUAUGUGGUCAAACUUUGACCCUAAAUACGACGGAGACUAAUAAACCUAGACGGAGGUGGUACUUUUAUUUCUGACCUAGUGGUGAUCCCCGUGCCAAAAAGCCAAAAAGGCCAACGCUGGGGUUGCGGUUGCUGAAGUGUGUUUGUUCUAAACUUAUCUUACUAAAUACCGUGGCAAAAUGGUCACAAACACAUGUAAAAGUUGAUUAGUCAAAAGGUAAAAUACGCAAAAUUAGUUAGACAAACGAGAUUAUCGUAAUAUGGCGGGAUAAGUGAGAAAGCCUCUGGGUUUUUCGAGACGAAACCACCCAUCCUGAGGCCGUGUGUCGUCUAGCCCUAGGUGACAUGGGUGGGGACCCUAAUUGCGCCACCACUGCCCCCCUCACAUGCGCCUUCCCCCUUGCCGCCGCCAGUAGUCACCUUCAGGCAAAGGCCAUGCGGUGAUGGCAGCGGCGGGGCUUUCUCUUGCGGCGUGGCGCUCGGCCCUAUGGAGAUUUGGAAGCAUGGCACCCUCGCGGGUCUUCGGUGGCGCAUUGGCGGCACAGGUAGUGCUUCGACAGUAGUGGGCACAGAGUUGGCUGGCUCUGGGGUGCGCGCUGCGGUCGCAACCUUGCUGGCUUGUAGGUCGGUGGAGGCGUGGUUGUGUUACAGUGUGUGGAUUUGAGGGCGGCCAGAUCUGGCCUCCCCAUGUUCGGCAACUGCGGCGGCGGCAAGGCAGGCGGCAUGGUUACGAUCCAGUGGUCUCCAACAAGGGCAGUGGCUAAGUGCAACUCUCAUCCGCUUGGGAGGCACGCCACUGUUGGUGGGUGUUUCGACGGUGACUCGCAAUGUGUCACGUUUGGGCGUUGGCCGGGUGGAUCUCGGCCGGCUUGAUCAGGUCAUGUCUGGCUCCCCGUCUUGGUUCCCAGCCGGUGUGACGGGAGAGUGCAUGUUCUUUAGCUUGUUUGGCUCCGGACUCCUUCAACUUGUCAUCCAUCGACAUGGGUAUAGGCGGUGGAGUGCCCAAUUGAGCCGAAGGCGGUGGAGCGUGCAACUUGGCCAUCGGGCUUCACACGCCAUGCUACCCCAUGCCUCCCGCCACGCGCCACACGACAGGUAGUCUCCAAUGGAUAUCCAUUGUGUUUUGGUGAUGGUCGGGGUGUGCCACACAUAGGCGCAGGUACUAGCAUGCUCAAUGUUGUCUGCGUUGGCAGAUCUGGCGUCUCAGCAAAUGCCCGACAUGUGGAGUUCACUCUGAUCUGCGUUUCCAUUGCUGAUCAAGACAUUACAAUUAACAUGACUUCUUCUCUUGCAAGUUGGUGGCGGCAACCCAGGGCACUUCGUCUAUGGUAGUGCUCUUCGAGUACCAGGUCGCAAGUUUCGAGGUCAAAACCCUAUGUCUUAGUUCUUCUAGUAUUGCAGUGGCAGUUUACACUCUCUUGUUGAAGGCACGACAUGGAGCUUACUCGAUCUUUCUCUUCUAGGUGAAAACCCACGAUCUGGCCUAUGUGAUUGGUUCAAGCGACGUCGUUCAUGCACCGUCUCCUUGCUGAAAGGCAUUGUUGUUGGGGAACCUUGUCGUCGUGCAGGUAUUGUCAACAGCGGUGGUAGCACUUUGAUCCUCUGUUGCAGCCCAGAACCUUAUCGGUCCUUUUUUUUCCAUCCUUUUUCUUGUUUGCCAUGUGCAUCCUUAGUCGUGCAAAGGUCGAGUAUGUACUCAUUGUGUUUGUGUCCACUUGAUGCGACAUCACGAGUCAAUAAAGAACGCCCUUUGUCAAAAAAUUAUCAUGAUACACCACAGUGCGAGAUGGAGCCUAAGGCAGGCAUGAAAUGCUCUGGUCAGCAAUAUCUAUAUUAAACUUGGGAGCUGCCUGUCGGUGCCAUAUUAAACUGUAUCAACCGCGCACUUAACUCAUAUAUCAUUAGUGCAUUAUUAUUCUCAAAAUCCCAAAAGAAUGACAAGUGUUUUAGCUAGAGGAAAUGAAGUGGUCAACCUGCUGCAAUUAGCAAAUUAGGCACAACAAAGGACUAAUUUAUAGAGCACCACACCACACAGGUAAACACCAGACACCACCUACUUCCACUGAGCAUCUCUUCCUGCAGAUGCCCUCUUGCAAGAUGCAAAACAACAAACCAGACCCAUUCUUCUCCCAAUAUAUACCUCCUUCUUCACCUCUAUCUCAUCACCCCUGGUCUCUUCCCUGGCUCCUAUAUCUACCGCAUGUCGGUCUGGCUAGAUCUAGCUUUUCUGAACACCACAACUCACUGCUAAAUAUGUCGCAUAUUGAUCGGUCAUGUUCUUCAUCAUGUCCUAGAUCUCAAGUAUGUGCUUUUAGACUUCUGCGGGGCUUACGAAAGCAAAAGAGUGGGAUUAGCUUGGUGUUAUUUUCUUGAUUUACUGAUGCAAGUGGUAGGCUCAUUCCUGAUCUGAAGCUUUGUUUUGCUCCCUUCUAGAUAGGAGAGCAUGGGAAUUGCAUGCGAUAUGGGCAUGCGUGUAUAGCCCACAUGUGUUUGUCUGUCUCCAUCUACCUUUACUGUCCAUAGUGAUUUGAUGAUAGGUUCAUGGGAUGUGUUUGUAUUGCUUGGAUCGAUCUUGCAUCAAUCUCAGUAUAUAAGCCUAUUGUUGUUUCUUUCUCUCUUGUGCUUUUCGCCAUGCUUUUGUGUCGAUCUGAAGUUCUGAACAUGAGAUUAGGGUUUUCGACUUUAAUUGGAGUUCUUCUGCAAGAUUAAGAGCUGAGUACUGAUUGACUUGCGGCGCGGUGUUUUCCCAGUGACCUCUCCUUUAGAAUCUUUGAUUGAAAUGUUCAGAUCAUGAUCAACAUACCCUGGUACACUUUCUGCAAGACCUACAUCUGUUUUGAAUACCAUCUCCUGUGGAAAUUAGUAGUGCACAAUUUCUUUGAGCGGACGAAUUAAGGUAGCUUCAUGCUACAAUCUAUUAUCUUUAGUGGAUUUUAUUAUCUGGCAACUUAAGCCAACUGGUUCCUGCCGAGGAGAAAUUAGGCUAGCUGAUGUUUGUCAAUUAGAUCUAUUUAGUCUAAUUUUCAUGUAUUCACAUAUAGCUUAUUCUAAUUCAUUCCUCCACAAACAGAAUCUUAACUUGGUUGUGCCCUUUGUUUGAAGUCAUUUAUUAGCCGGUUGUUCUGUUAUUUCUUGGGGAAACCCAUUUUCCUUCAAGAUUUCCAAUUCUGGUGCAUGUUUAUCAAGGACACCAAGUUAAUUCUUUGUAGCUAGCUUGCGUAGAUAGAUAUCUUAUUUCCUUAAUUAUUUUCUAUUAAACAGUGGCCAUGCAAGACUGUUAACCAGCUGAUGUAAAAAAAGGCACCUGAUUUCAUCAGUACAUGCAUAACCAUGUUGUUAACGUUCUAAGCCUAUCUAAUGGUAUAAUGCGAUUUUUCCUGGGGAAAAAAUCUUCUGUCUACCCGUACGGACGGCUAUAUCUCUCUUUAGAUGCAGUCUUUCCCUCUCGAAUACUCUGUGUAGAUGCAGUUAUAUAUAUAGCACCAUCAAUAUUACUUGCAGUUCUCCAUCUGAUCUAAAAGGUCUUAUACUAAUUUACAGAGGGGGUACAAAUUACUUAUUUGUUGUAUUAGUUGUUGAGCCAUUAGCUAGUUUUUUGUUGGAAAAAUGCAGGAGUAGCAGCAGCAGGAUGAGGAUGAUGAUGAUGAUGAUGAGGAUGAUGAUGUAUUAGUUUGAGGGAGCUCACUUCAGUCCACUCAUGGGAGGUAGCGGGGAUUGAACGAGCUGCCGACUCAUUCACUCGAGCACACAGUAGAUAUGAGACUAGUCCAGGGCAUACCAGUAUGUUACAAUAUGUACUGUGCGAAUGAGCGAAUGCAGCGGGAGAUUGUUCUCUCUUUCCUCCUCCAUGCUUGGACUGAAGGGAGCUCCCUCAUCUCUCAUCAGCUUCAUCAGGAAUAUGAACAGACCGUCAACAAUAAUCCAGAUUCUGGUACUACUUCCCCACUCGUGAAUUUUAUUUUCCAAACAUUCAGCUAAGAUCGCUGUUCUAGUGGCAGAGCCUUUUUCUUGUGCUGGCUUUGAUGAUCAAUUCAGAGGCUUUGCUAAUCAUGCAUGCAUGGGCUGUUAAUUAAAUCAGAGUUUCUCACCAGCAUAUUGCAAGGGUUGUCUUAGGGCUCAAUUAGGCCAUCAUCGUGCGCCUUACCUAGCUCUUUAGAAUACACAGGCUACGGUGUGUAGAAAAUAUGCAUAGCUAGGGUCAUAGGCUUUCCAUUAAGGUCAACACAGAACCUUAAAUUACCCCCCAACAAAGCAAGCACAAAGAUACUUGGAACUUGUCAUGCCUCCCGGCUUUGUGAUCUCCACCAUCAUUUUAUAUUCUCCUAAUUGCAUAUCUAGGUGUGUCCCGUUGGCAGAAAGUUACCUAAAUAAUCAAUACUCACCAGUUAUUACUAAUGCCUAAGUUUUUGUUUGAAAUUUAUACAAGAGUAACAAUGUGGUUAUUAUGUUUCUUCUAAUCAACCGCUGCACAUAUCUUGUUCUAAUUUUCUUAAAAAGAAAAUGAGAUCACUGCAAGCAUGUUAGUCGCCACCAGAAUAUUGGACACACCGAUGCACUUAGCAUUACGACUAGCAACAUCUUACACCAUCAACAUAGUGCAGGUUUAACAUAGGGAGGGGGAGGAACUGACCUGACAAUACAUGUUUGGGUAUCUGCAAAUUCAGGGCAAUAAUAGCCUUUUCACAUGCUGGUGUGGUGAUGGUGGCCUGGAAGAAAGGAAGCCCUUAAAAGGAGAGAUCAAGCUAGCUGCACUGAUGCUCCCCUCGUGCCACGGCGUAUUGUAUAUGCCCUCCAAGUACAGCAGCAAGUGCGUCUGCUGCUCUACUUUUGAUAUACUCCUCUAUGCUGCCCUUCCCCAGGUGUUUCCUCUCCCAUCUAUGGUCUGAUGUUAAAGUACAAUAUGUUCAGGCAUCGCAGCGCGUGCCCCCGUAAUUAACUAGUGCCAUAUGUUCUGAUGUCGCAGUACAAUUCAGCUCUUUCUUUAUGCCUGCACAUGAAAUCUUAGACCUAUCAAUGGCCGAUCUCCACUUUCUCCAAGAGCAUAUAUAGUGCCAUCGUCCUUCCUGCAGAGAAAAUGAGCGUGAUCAAGGCAUCAAGCUUGUGCCAUCAAAUGUUGCCUUGUUCUGGUAGAAUUUACAGGUCAAUGUCUAUCUGUCUAGAUUUGAAACAUGCUAGAUAUCUCAGAACUCCUGCUCAUGCAUAACAAUAUGGCGCAUGAGUUUAUCUAUCUUCCGGUAACUUCCUCCAUCAGGCAGCCAGAAACGCUUGCAUACACAUGGACACUGGGACCGAUUAGAGGGGUUCAAAUCACUGCUGAAUCGCACAACCCCCCUUUAUUGGCAGUAGUAUUCUCAAGUAGUAGCAGUUCAUCAAGCACAGGAGCUAUGAUCUCAUCAUUCUGCGCAUUGGCAAUCAUCUGCAAUAAUACUAUGCCGAACCCACUGCACCGCCACCGGUCACAUGCUUCAGAAAAGGGCCUGCAAACGGUACAACAAAAUCAAUAACCACUGGUCAUCCUACACUGUAACGUUAUCACCCCAAGCGUGCACACAUCAUUACUGGGACACUACGUCUAGUAGAGAAAGAAAAAAAAAUACCAUGGAGAAUUCAUCAAUUAACGAAAAGAUUAAGAAAAGAAAGAUCCUACAGUACUUCUUUAUCACUUGGUUGUCAAUUUGCAGAUACACUCACCCGAAAAUCACUGAAGAUAGUCACACUCAUAUGAACACAUGUAUCUGUACCCGGGUGGUCUCUUUUGUUUUGCUGUUAAGGGUUAGAAGUAGACAAGUACUAACUCUGUAAACUAAUAUAAGACUUUUUAGAGGGAGUAGUAGAUAAAAUAUUAUUGACUGGACCUAACUCAAUUCAGCCAAUGAAACGUCAAACACUCUUUCUAAGGCGAAAUUCACCUAUUUUACCAAUUAAACACUCUUCUAUGGCGAAUAAUACCUAUUUAACUAAUUAAACGCUCUUUUAUUGCCAAAGUCACGCCUAACUCUGAAUGAAAGUCCCCCAAAAAAUGAACUAUACUCGGUGUGCAAAGACAACAUUAUGGUUAGCCUAAUUCGUUCAUUCAGUAAUGUUGUUGGAGUUGGGAGUUCAUAUGGACAACACGCAGCUUAGACAACAUAAUUUGACAUGUCAUACAUAACAUAAGGCCAUCAACACAUCGAAUUUCCCGUUCUUAUUGUGGACUCAUCAUUCGCCCUCUGAUAGCUACGGUGACACUUCUCAAAAAAGAAAAAGGAUAGCUACAUUGACACAAAAUGACGCCCAUUUGAGAAAAAAGUUAUAGCUACAUUGUGACGGUGCUAAUCCAUUUACUAGUAGAUGAGAUCGAUUUUGAAUUAAGAGUGCCAUGGCGAAUUCCAGCGACAAGACCUAGCCGUUUUCGCAGUCAGGAAACGUGACCAUACAAAUUAACCUGGGCUGCGAGUGCCCAAGGGGGGGAGAAGUGAGAAGAGAAGAUUACCACCACCAUGGUGGCACGGUCGUGCCCGGAGGCGAGACGGCAGGCGAGCCGCGCGGGGCCCCCUCGCCCGACGGCUGGUGGGCGGCGGUGGGGGGGAGGCGCAGCCGCAGGAGUGGCAGCAGCGCAGCAGGCGCGACCGCGCGCGAGAGAGAGGCACGAAGGUGGGCCCUGCCGGGCCGGGCCGAGCCGAGCCAUCUCAAUGGCAAUGGGCUGAGAUUUCUCGAGCAGGCCCACUCUCGCUACGCUGCUUCUCCAAGCCCCCCAAACCCCAUUNNNNNNNNNNNNNNNNNNNNNNNNNNNNNNNNNNNNNNNNNNNNNNNNNNNNNNNNNNNNNNNNNNNNNNNNNNNNNNNNNNNNNNNNNNNNNNNNNNNNNNNNNNNNNNNNNNNNNNNNNNNNNNNNNNNNNNNNNNNNNNNNNNNNNNNNNNNNNNNNNNNNNNNNNNNNNNNNNNNNNNNNNNNNNNNNNNNNNNNNNNNNNNNNNNNNNNNUCUCAAAAAAAAAAACCAUUCUACUGCUACCUCUCACUCCGUCCGCCCUAAAAAAAACUCCGUCCGUCGUUGCGUUUUUUUUUUGGUCGCGGUCCUCCGCUUCAUCUGCGAUUCCCAUUCCUCAUCGACAUCGCCGUUCUUAGUUGCUCCCGCCAUCUCAUCCGGGUAAACCUCGUAGCCGAUUGAUCUCUCAUUAUCAGUGAUUCUCGCAGCAUUUGAUCUAUUCGCAGGGAGGUGAUUACCAGGACAGAAGAAGACGGCGAAGGAAGGCCGAGAUCCAGGGCCGCGAGUGUUGAAUCCACUGAGGGCACAUUCCCACAGCCAGGAGCUUUGGUCAACUUAGCUACGCAUCGCCAUGAAGCAGAUGUUGGUCCUCCCACGACGGCUGGUUUAGAACAUCGGUUUUGGUAACUAUGGUGUUGAACAACUUACCUAUGCUUCUCUAAAUCAUCAUAGCGUAUGGUUCUUAAAAAUGUUGAUACAAAAGUAUGAUGUGCAGCUGGGAAGAGUCUCAUUUCGACCUGCAGCAAGGUUUGAACUGUGGAACAGAACGUGAUUGCUGCCGGUAUUUUUCUCUGUAAAAAGGUUGAUACAAGGUUUGAUCUGUGGAACAGAACAGAACGUGAGUUGUUACCAGAUUCGGUCACCUAUUUUCCUCACUACUUUACACAGUUCAACAGAGGCUGAGCUGCAUCAAUCAAUGAACUCUCAAAUUUCUAACCGUGCUUUCUUUUGUUCUUGCCUUGAGGCUUUUUCCAUCUGAUAACUCAGCCUUCAAGAGUCCAUUGUUGUAAGUAAUAAUGUUUUUUUUUCUUCUUAUCAUUUGGUGACCAGGUACAAAUUUUUCUCCUUUGUUUAAAAUUAUGCUUUGCGUCGCUAACGGAGAACCUAUCAAUCAACAUACACGACACAUGUAUAUUACUAAAAAGUCAACUGGGCUGAAUACUGUCAGUAGAUGCCAAGACCUGAAAGCAAGAUAAUAAAGAAUCAAAAACUGAACAAGACAAAAUAGCAUUCGUAUCCUCGAGUCCCAAAACCGAUGAGAAUCUACUGGAUUGCAUAAUGCACUAUGUAGUAGUUGGACAUGAACAAGGUAGCCACUUAUCGUAUAUAUUUGACAAGAAGUCUCCCCUCUCUCUCCUACUCUGUCUGUCUCAUGGAGAAACUUCAUCUGCUAGCUCUGCUUCUUCCCAUACUUCUUGGGUUACCUCUGUUAUACAUCUGGGACAUACUAUGGAUGAGGCCAGAGAGGCUAAGAAAGAAGCUGAGGAAGCAGGGUGUAAGGGGUCCCAGGCCUACUUUGUUCUAUGGCAACACCCAGGAGAUGAAGAGAAUUCGGCAAGAGGCCGUUUCUGCGCAGAAGCAAGACACCAGUAACUACAUAUCCACCCUCUUCCCUCACUUCCUUAUCUGGAGGGAAACAUAUGGUAUGUAGUCAAAAGUUCAAUCCAUGCAUGAAUUUUCUCUGCAGUAAAACCACACCCUUUUGUUUGGUCUUUUUUUUAACUGUAACACAUGUUCUUUGCUUAGAAUUCACCUCUAGUAUGAUAUUGAUUAGAUGGCUCAUGGAUGUUUUUAUUCUUGUGAUAUGAGACUAUAAGAUCACAAAGUUCAUAUUUUACAGUUUGUUGGGGUGACCAAUCAAUCUUUCUAAUAUUCAGCAUGAGAGCGCCACAACACAAAGCCUACAACACUAUCUUGUAUAUGGCCUCUGUUCUCUGUUGUUCUUUAUGCUUCGUAAAUUUCAUUAAUGUAAGGCAUCCACCCUAGCAACCGUAUCGUCCAAAAGAUAAAGCUACAUUAUACUGAGUUACAUGUUCUGCACUGUGCAGUGUCACUCAUAGUUCAGUGGCAAACAACAUCCUUAUCAACCUUAGCUGGGUUUGUAGGAUGGUCUCUCAAAAGUCAGGAACAACUCAGGUCGUAGAAAGCUAGAAGCUUUCUCUUGAUGUUGGAAUUUACUCUUGAACAUUGGAACUCUGAUCAUAUAACAAUAUUUUGUUCACCCUAAACUUGUUUGUACAGUAAUACUCCGUAGUAUUUUGGUUAGUGAUAUAAUACUUCCCAUGGAAUCUGGCAUCCUAUGAGAGCUAAGUGGCUUUUUAUAGAUCUUUUGUUUUGUCCUAUCAAAAUGCUGUUCAACUACGCCUUAACAAAAUGCGUGACCAGUAGUUGGCUUGUUGCUUAAAAAUGCUGGAUUUUUUUUAUUUAUAUGCUGUUUCAUUUUAAUGCAUAAGACCAUGUGUUUCUAGCUAAUCUAUACACUAAGAAAUUUGGUCUAGUCGGAAGUAUAUUGUAGAAAAAUACUUGCCAAAUAUAAUGAGCUACUAACAUAUAUUUAAUAUAUAACUAUUUGGUUUAUGUCAAUGGUAUUUAUAAUACUUAUACAUGCUGUAUUCCUUAUAUUGGUUCAUUCUUCUCAUGGCAAUGCUAUUGGAUUGUGAGAUUGGAAUAGGCUCGGUAUUCCACUACUCAACAGGAGCUGUGGAGAUUCUGUUUGUAUCUGACCCCGGCAUGGUCAAGGACAUGAGCCACUGUACAUCAUCUGAGCUCGGGAAGCCUAUUUAUAUACAGAAAUCUCGCAAACCGCUCUUUGGCGAAGGCAUCUUGGUAUCAAAUGGCGAUAUAUGGGCCUACCAAAGGAAGGUCAUUGCACCAGAGUUCUUCAUGGAGAAGAUUAAGGUGCUGUGAACUGCUUAAGAUAAUGCUUAAAUAUGAGUUGAAAUACUAAGAACAUGAUCAAGCAUUAUAGUUAAUUUUUUGCAAAAAAUCAUUAUAAUUACAAGAAUAAUGUUUGCAGGUCAUGAUAGAACUAAUAGGGGAGGCUUCUGUCCCACUGCUAGAAGCAUGGGAGAGCAUGCUUGAUGAUGCAGGAGGGAGUAGAGAGAUAGAUGUGGAUGGUUAUUUGCGGAAUUUUUCAGCGGACGUAAUCGCCAGGGCAUGCUUUGGCAGCGAUUUCACAACAGGGGAAGAAAUAUUCUACAAGCUCAGGCAGCUUCAGAAGGCGAUUUCUCAGCAAGAUACACUGGUUGGAUUAUCUGCAGUGUGGUGAGUAUACAAUAUCUAACAUAAUGAGAAAAAGUAAAGAAAAAUAGAUGAAAUGUGAUUCUUCACCUGCAUAUUUGACUAUUUGUGCAUGAAUGUCCGUUCAGAAGUCUUUAAACGGAUUUGGGUAAAUAAGGUUCAUUCUCGUUCAUUAGACAGGAACUGCUGAAAUUGUGAUGUAAAUAUCGUAAUGUUUUUUUUUUCAAAAUAGUCUGGUUGUUCAAAUUUAGAGAAUGUUUUGCCAUAGUGCAAAGUUUAGUCCAGUCUUGUCAUAAAAUUAAGAGUAAAUUCCGGAGUUAUCCGCUAGUUGCGAUCUUGUGAACUGUGACAACUUAUUUACAAAAUUUUGCCACAUUUUACUCCUUAGUUGUGACCUUUGUGACGGCUCUUAAUCUAUUACCCUAUUUAAUUGACAAGACAGUUGACUAGGCAGACAACUCAGGUUCGAAUUCGCUGGGGGUGUACUCCGAUAUGGAACAGGAGCAGUAUGGUGCAGUUGUACAGCUAGCAGCACCUGUUCAGCAAAGCUGACUCGAUUUCAUAGAAUUUGACUGAAUCGGAUGGAUCUUUUUCCCUAAUUUGGUAUAUAUCUCCAACUACUACUAUUUCUCUACUCUUAUAAAAACCCGAGUUGGUGAUGAUGGUGUGCCUGUCAUCUUGCAAUAUAGAUCGUCUGAUCUAUAUCUGACGGAUAGAAAGCAAACUAUGAUAAUUUUGCAAAAAGAUACUCGCACCUCUCUUCACAUUUGCAAAUAAGGUCUUUCCUCGUUCAUCCUUAUCUUCCACAACCUCAUUGUUGAGCAAUUAAAAAAAAAAGCCUCUCGAACAAUCUGGCAUGAUGGCCGCUGCCAGCGUCGUCCAUCCCCAUGCCUCCGCUCAGUCCGACCACCAAUCACCACCACGCACCACUCCUCCUCACCUUAUCUCUCCUCUUUCUCAAGAUAUCAUUAGUUUUUACACAUGAGAUUACUCCCUCAUGGGUCAAUCACAACAGGUGUUUUGUAAAAAAUAAAUGCAUCUUGAUGUUCCGUGCAAUGCACGGGCAUCUUGCUAGUUCCCAGUUAUUUGUCAGUCAGCUGCCAUGUCUUCCUAACAAGGGGAUCUGGCUUUGCAGUUCGGCGAAAAUAAUAAAAUGGGAUAAAGGAUGUCACAACUCACAACUAGGUGUAAUUAAAAGAUGAAACUUAUUUCAUAAUUUGUUGUGUUGAUUACAGGAAGUGUUUGCCAACCAAGGCCAACCGAGAGAUACAAAAGCUGGAGCAAGAAGUUCGGCUACUCAUCCUCGAUGUCGCAAAGGAACACAGCCGCGGAAGCAGCAGCAGAAACAACGACGACGACAACGAUUGCAUAGAGACUAAACAUAACAGCUUUCUGCGCUCGAUUGUCAACAGCUCUCGGCAUUGCCCGGCCAGCUACGGUGGCAGCGCCGAGGACUACAUCGUCGACAACUGCAAGAACAUCUACUUUGCUGGGCACGAGACUGCAGCUGUAACCACCACCUGGUGCCUGAUGUUACUGACCACGCACCCGUCAUGGCAGGACCGUGCCCGCGCCGAGGCUCUAGAGGUGUGCCGUGGAUGCACAAAGCUCGACGUCGAUGUCCUCCGGCGACUGAAAACAGUGAGAAAGCAUCCCUCCCGUUAUGCAUCAAUCAGCGUUGAAGAAACUGGCUCGCCGUCGGCAUAACCAUUGCAUUCUCUUUCUAGAUCACCAUGGUGAUCCAGGAGACUCUCCGGCUGUACCCUCCGGCGUCGUUGAUCGUGCGUGAGGCGCUGACGGACUUCAAGCUUGGCGCCCUCAACAUCCCGCGGGGAACCAUCGUCCAGACCGCCGUCGCGAUGCUGCACCUCGACAAGGAUGUCUGGGGCCAGGACGCCGGCGAGUUCCGUCCGGACCGGUUCACGAACGGUGCCGCGGCGGCGUGCGAGCCGUCGCACAUGUACCUGCCGUUCGGGCACGGGCCCAGGAUUUGCGCGGGGCAGAACCUGGCGAUGGUGGAGCUCAAGGUGGUGCUCGUUCGCCUGCUGAGCAAGUUCGCCUUCUCGCCGUCGCCGGGGUACCGGCACGCGCCGCUGUUCCGGCUCACCAUCGAGCCCGGGUUCGGCAUGCCACUCGUCGUCACAAAGCUUCCAUGAUCUCUCACUGACAUCUGUGGCGAGAAUGUGCCGCGCCUGUUGAUGAAAACAAUGACGCCGCCACGUGUUUGUGAUCGGCGAGGCAUGCUUUCGUUGGUUGGUACUUUCUGCCGCUGAAGAUUUAGUGAGUUGAGGCGCAUUGUAAGAACAAAGUAUGCUUAUCUGCGUAACUGCGUUCCCUGAAGAUUGAAGUCGGUCUCGUAUGUUCUACGCAUGUAAAAUAAUUUUCUCUUGCUAAUAGUCUUGUUGAUUCCUUGCAGAUGUGGUCCAUACUCUGUGCAUGCUUGAAAGAGAUAGUGUCAUUGCCCACUAGUCAUGUUCUUAAAAAAUACUCCCUCCGUCCAGAAUUACUUGUCGUAGAAAUGGAUAAAAAUAGAUGUAUGUAGAACUAAAAUAAGCCUAGAUACAUCUAUUUCUCCGACAAGUAUUUCUGGACGGCUCACCGUUGAUUUUCAGGAAGCUCUACUUGUUGAUUCCCACGGGCAAAUUUUCAGGAAGCAGUCAGGCCGAUCAUGCCUUUGAGGAUGAAGGAUGGCUGGAAAUUCAAUUUUUUCUUUUCUAUUUUUGGAAUGAUGGUUGGAAGGUGAUUGUGAUGUGAGUCUACAUCAGAAAACUGCAAUGCUCACUGAAUCAACGAGCCAGGUAAUAGCUUUACUAAUAAAUAGAUUAUUGUUUGUGAAACAACAGCAACGUCAGGAUGGCCGAGUGGUCUAAGGCGCCAGACUCAAGUUCUGGUCCUCUUACGAGGGCGUGGGUUCAAACCCCACUUCUGACAUAAUAAUGUUUUGCUUUUUUUCCUGCUAUGGUUUAGAGUUUUGCUUUUUUUCCUGCUAUGGUUUAGAGUUUUGCUUUUUUUCCUGCUAUGGUUUAGAGUUUAGGGUUUAGGCUCCCGUGCACCUUUUCUGCUUUGUGGUGCUGCAUGGUUGCAUGCAUGCAUUUAACUUAUCUACUGAUGUAUCCUUAAAAAAAAGCCUUAUCUACCGGUGUCUUUUUUUUGUGCUCUCUUAGGCGAAAGUCCUACUCCGUCCGGAGCCGAUGGUGGCGCCGCGUGUGGGUACUGCUAACUUUUUUGGAAGCAUCACUGUCAUGGUGGCUUCAUUCUCAACCAGACUUCGAGGGAAAAUCCUGCUCUAGGUGUGCUCGGAACAGACAAUGGUGACACAUCCCGCGUCGCACCCUUUCUUGAAGGCAUUGUCUGGGGGUUGGCUCUGUUGAUUGGUGUGGUGCAUGUUUGUUGUGGGUUUGAUGGCCGUGGCAUUGGGGUCGAUGGUGAUUGUUCGGUGGUGUUCUUCAGGGUUUGGUGGCGUGCCUUUGGCGACGUAGGACGGCCGUCUGUUUUCCCUUGUGAAGGUGCCUCGCCGAUGUUGUUGUGCAUGCUCAAGACCCUCUCGUGGCUGUCGUUGUGUUGCGGCAAGCUUCGCGCUCUUGGUGAUAUCUCGGUUUAUCUUUGCCCAUUGACGGCGGAAGAUGCCUCCUCGAACUUGCUAAUCGUUCCGAAUUUCUAUGGCGGAGCACCAAGUAGAGGUUCGUGUUCAAUUGUACUUGUUGAUUGUGGGUGCUUUUGAGUUGUGUCAUGGAGCUCGGCACAUACGCCAAUGCGGUGCGUUAGGCUGCUUGCAAAGUCUAGUAUCCCUCGACGACACUCCACAUCUACGUGUGUCAUUAUGUCUGCUAGCUAAGCGUGCCUUGUCCUGAGUGUUAUUUUUUAAUAUUCUUUUCCCUUGCUAUUUGUAUUGUUUUUUAUCCGGUUUUCCUCAUAAAUAAGACCAGCUUGUUUAGGUUUUUGAGUCGGUUUUUCUUAUAAACUGGAUCAACCAAAAUCAUGGGAUAACUAUGGUCUUUGGCAGCUUUUGAGCAGUAUAUAUAUUCACGUGGGAGAAUUCUCCCCUCGGUGAUUUCCUAACAAAAAGAAGAAAAACUACACUAUUAUGUUCAAGUCAUAGCUUAUCGUCAAAUCAGAUAGAGAGAAGUGCAUAUUUCAACCUCAAACUCUUGCCCUAGUCUAAUUUACAACCCCGAACUUCAAUACCGUCUGAAUUACAACCCCCAGGUCUCAAAACCGAUCAGGAUUCAACCCUCCUCUCCAUGUUGACCGGUUUUGACCUGGGGUGACCAGUUUUGACUAGUCAACGGGUCCAAUCAGCAUGCCACGUCAGUUUUUUUUCAAAAUUUCAAGAAAAGGUAAAUAAAAAUAUGUAACACCAGGGAAAAAAUAUGAGAAAGCAAAAUUCCAAAAAAAUUGUUCGUGAAAAAAGCUAGGAAAAAAAAUGAUUUUUUUGUAUUUUUGUUUUUUCCGGAAAUAUAUUUUUUGGGAAUUUGAGUUUUUGGGGUUUUUCUGGAUUUUUUUGGAAAUUCUUUUUUAUUUUCCCUGUUUUUCGGAAAUUGGAUUUCUUAUUUGUUUUCCUGGAUUUUCUUCGAUUUUACAGAUUGUUUCCUUGGAAAUUUUGCAUUUUUUGCUGACGUGGCAUGCUGACUGGACCUGUUGACUGGUCAAAACUGGUCAACCAGGUCAAAACCGGUCAACAGAGAGGGAAGGGUUGAAUCCUGGCCGGUUUUGAGAGCUGGGGGUUGUAAUUUAGACGGUAUUAGAGUUCGGGGUUGUAAGUUAGACUAAGGCAAAAGUUCAGGGUUGAAAUAUGCACUUCUCUCGAUCAGAUACAAAUCCCCAAUCUCGCACGAACGUGUAGAACACACGCAUCGAUUUUGCGGGAAUCCGCUGUUUAAAAUUCAAUCCUCCAUUGUAUCGAACGUGUAACCGCACAGGGGCACACCAAACUCCCCUGUGCGCUAGCGUGGCUGCACGUGGCGCCUCCUUCACGGCCAUGCCUCGCACCCAAUCUUCUCCGGCGAGAUCCGGCGAUCAUCGGAAUUCCGCGAUCAUCGGGUCAGAGCUUGGUGCUGCUGUUGCACUCGUGGCUCUGGACGCGCAUCUCCAUGACGGCGAACACGAGCCUGCACUCGGAGUAUGCCACGGCGCUGCGCCUGAACAAGCCGAACAGCAGCACCGUGCCGGGGACGGUGGUGGCGGCGUCUAGCGGCAUCGCCCGGCUCUCCACGUCCUCGGCCAGCUGCCUCACGUCCCCGGCGGCGACGAACCGGUCCGUCUCCAGCGUGAGCGCGACCCGGACCUCCGCGUCCCCGCGGCUCGGAACGGCGCCCGGGUCGAUCUGGGCGUCCCCGACGUGGGCGCCGCGGUACGAUAGGUUGGUGUGGCCCCCGCCGGCGUAGGUGAAGGAGGCCGGGUUGGGGUUGUGGACGGACACCGUGACGAGGAGCGUGAGGUUGAGGCGGAGGGACGGGGUCGGGAGGAGCGCGAAGCGCGGGGCGGCGCCCACGAACUGGGUGGACACGAGGCGGAUGGUGGGGUCGCGGACGCGGAGGACGGUGAGGAAGAGCACGGCGAGGACGACGGCCAGGGCGAGCAGGACGGCCGCCGUGGCGAGGAGGCACCGGCGGCGGCGGCGGCGCGCCUGGUGGUUGCUCGCGGAGGACGGCGUGGGGGGCUUGGAGGACGCCAUGGGGGAGCUCGAUUUCGAUUUAGGGGACCCCAUGCCCAUGCGAGGAUGAGGAUGCGAUGGCCUAGGCAAGUCCGGGGAGGGAACUUUGACGAGCUGUUGACGAUGGACGGUACCGUACGUACGUGGACAGCACCGCACAGCGUGGUGCCGUUGCGUCUGAAUUGGUUACCGCGCAAACAGAAUUGGUUAACAGGAACGAAAAAAAACCUUCAUAGGUUGCCUGCUUGAAAUUUCUUCAAAUCUCAAGCAUUUCUUUGGGUCUUUUGAUUAUCAUCCAGACAUUUGCAUUCUUAUCUUGGGAGCAAAUCCAACUCCAACGCGUGCUCCGGCUGCUCCGGGCCAGGAUCGAUGCCAGGCUCGGCCACUUGGCGAACUCUUCGAGCUCAGACAUCCUCGUCGGCCUUCUUGUGGGCCUCGUCGGAUGCCUCACCUGUCUCCCCCUCAACUGCCACUGGUGGACUAGGAGCACUUGACGCGGUGGCGAAGAAGGACCGGCGGCGCGCAUCAUGCUCGUCCACUAACCAGGUGUCCCAGUUCGGCUAGUCGACGUCGUAUGUCGGGUCGAGGAUGAGGAGCUCGCGCGCGCGACUGGAGGCGGGGACGGCCGGCACCGAGACCCUCUUCGGGUUGAGAUACCCCCCGUUGGGCAAGUGGACGUCGAGCCACAACACGAAGAUGGCCCGAUCCUAGUGCCGCUGGCACUGCUCGACGUCGACGUAGACUCCUCCCGACGCGCAGCGGCCACAGGUGGCGUCAUGGUCAAGGUCGCCACGCAGCGGCGACCNNNNNNNNNNNNNNNNNNNNNNNNNNNNNNNNNNNNNNNNNNNNNNNNNNNNNNNNNNNNNNNNNNNNNNNNNNNNNNNNNNNNNNNNNNNNNNNNNNNNNNNNNNNNNNNNNNNNNNNNNNNNNNNNNNNNNNNNNNNNNNNNNNNNNNNNNNNNNNNNNNNNNNNNNNNNNNNNNNNNNNNNNNNNNNNNNNNNNNNNNNNNNNNNNNNNNNNNNNNNNNNNNNNNNNNNNNNNNNNNNNNNNNNNNNNNNNNNNNNNNNNNNNNNNNNNNNNNNNNNNNNNNNNNNNNNNNNNNNNNNNNNNNGAGCAUCUCUUGUUCGUGUGGAUGCAAACCCGGCCCAAAUUUAAGACAGAUUUGCAUCCACAUGGACACAAAAAUGAAUUUGUAUCCGUGCGUUGGUCUGUGAUUUCUUUCAGCGAAGAUCUAAACAGACAAAAUGCAUUCGUGUGUUGGAGUUGCCCUUAGGACUUCUGCGGUUCACCAAACCAGCCCCCAAAUGUCCACAGAUAUGUCCAGGGGCGUCCACAAACAUUUGGUCGGGAGCUGGCAUCCAACCCUAUACCUCAAACAAGGCAGACGAAAGUUCAUAGUCCUUUUUAGCAUGACAAUUUGGCAAAGUGGUGUGUAAUUUUAGCAUGACUUUUGCUAAACCGGCCAGCUCAUAGAAAUGGCUUGUAUUUUUGGAUAUGCUCAUUACAGUUCCCGCGCCUUGGCUGGCCAUAUGUCCCCGCCAGAAUCAUGCUUUAUGUUAAAUGUCCACAUCAAAUGCUAACUAUUAGCUCCUUCCACGGACACACGCCUCUCACCACUUCGCAGCUCCAAAUAACUUCACUUGUCAUGAAGCAACAUUUUCUUAACAAAUACCAGUACUACCUUAUUAUGCUACACAAAUGUCUAUUGUCCGCAAACCCAUCUCAUCAAACAAUUCCGUACAGAGCAAAUAAAACUCCUACAUGAUCUGAACAAGUAUCUUCAGUCAAUAAUUCUCAAGGCAAAUCAAGUGCUGGAGGUCUAGGAGACGGGCGCUCAUGGGAGCCAACUACCAGCAACACGCCGUUGCUGAUUGUAGGUAGAUGAAACAUGGUUUCGUGCGUUUUCAGCAUCGAUCUCAUGGCGGAACAAGUUGGCGAGCAGAGCACACACACCAAGUUGAGAAAAAUCACACGGUAGCUAGAACAGCUAGAACUGAGACUUGUCGAGGCUGUUGAAAUAGGGAUGCUCUAGCGCAGCUUUGGCUGAGAUCCUGUUCGCCGGGUCGAACUGGAGCAUUUUCUGCAAGGAACGAGACAUGGAAAUGUAAGCCCAUAUAGCUAGACAUACUUGAUGCAGCCUUGGCAUAUGAAUGGAAAACUCAACUCAAGUGCAUCAAAAUAAUGUUCAGCAGAAUUAACAUCAUAAGAUAGCAGACAAAUGACAGAGAAUGGAUGGUUAAGCAUAUCCCCAUAACUUGAAUUUGUUGAGUUGGAGAUGAUUUUCCAGUGAAGAGAAUGAAGGGCUAGCAUUUAAGCUUUUUAGCGUACCGAUAACAGGUCAAUUCCUUCUGGUUCCAGUGUAGGGACUGCACGCGUCAAUCUUUGUGCUUUCCACUGAGGAAACUCGUGCCAGUCCCUCAGAGCAGUUACUCCAGGCCAAUCCUCCUCGGUAGGAGUUCCCAACAGCCUGAUAAGGAGCACUUUUAAUUAAUGGUUGAAUGCAUGUACAAUAUAAAUUGAUAGAAGAAAUAUUAACUAAUAAAAUACGACAUAAUGUAUGUCGCACUGGUGCUAAUUCGAAUCAGAAGUUCUCAGUUAUUGGAGCAGACAGAGUCUGACAAAGAACAGUUUGAUAAAGUCCACCAUCUCAAAUUGGGACAAGUUUUGCUAUGUUUCCAGAUUGUGGCAAGCAUCACCUCAUGGAAAAUCCGGCAUGUUUUUCAACAGAACAGUACAAUAAAUAAGAUUGUUCUGAAAAUACUAGCAUGAUAUUCUUGCAACUAAGAAAAGUAGUUUUAUCAUGAUAAGUUGACAAAUACAUAUUCUCAGUACUAAUGAGAAGCAGGAGAGAGAGAGAGAGAGAGAGAGAGAGAGAGAGAGAGAGAGAAAUACUUGAAAAUGUGAAGCAGUUGCUGUAACUCAGAGUCACCAGGGAAAAGAGCCUGUUUUCUGACCAUCUCGGCUGUACAGAAUAAUAAAGAGUAUAAACAUCAAACGGUGGGGGCGGGGAGGGGGAUUCAAUCAAAAGUGGAAAAUAUGUCAUCUUGUAAGUUAAGGAGAGCAAGGAAAAACUGAAGGAGUCGGCCAGAAAUUCAAAGGCAUGAGGCCCAUGUGAAAUUGGAGCUUAAGAUCUUGGUAGUUGACUCUUAAACUGCAAUACUUCAUACGUUGAAGGCUUUAGAAUUGCUGCUAUGGUAAUACCUUCGUUCGAGCAGAUGCAAUUUCCACUGAUCUAAAGCACAAAACCACUCAUCUACUAUUUCAUAUAGACAGGAGUGACCAUCAAUUCCCUAGUGUAUUUUUGCUGUGAUUGUACAGGUGUGCUUUCUGUUUCAGUACAAUUAUAUGCCACAAAAAUUAUGCAAUGAAAGCUUCUUUCAAAUGUGAAUCCAAUGGUGUAUUUUUAAUGCAUGUAACUUAUAAUUUUCUCACUAAAUUGGUGGUCAAAGUUAGGCUUAAGUACGAGAGGGGCUUGUAAACCAGUCCAGAGGCAGUAUUCAAUAACAUAGACCAAAAUUAAGGAAUAUUGCCAUACCAAAGAUGCAUCCGAUGGACCAAAUAUCAACACUGGUUGAGUAAUGUGUUGCUCCAAGCAGUACUUCAGGAGCUCUAUACCAAAGCGUCACGAUCUACAACAGAAAAAACAGGGAAUAGGACUGAGGAACAUACUAAACCAUGCUGAUAAAUUAUGUCGAACUAGUGUUCACUGUCCAAUUUUACAGAUGAAUAGACGAGUAAUCAGUACCUCAUGGGUGUAGCUUUUCAUAGGAACAGUAAAAGCUCUACUUAACCCAAGAUCUGCAAUUUUCAGUAUCAUCUUCUCCUUGUCAACCAAGAGAUUUUGGGGCUUUAAAUCCCUAUGAUAUCAAAGAGGAACAAUCACAAAUCACAUCAGCAACAAUUGCAAUUGUAUGGGCCGAUAAGUACAGCAACAUAAAUCAGAAAACAAAGGUCUAACCGAUGAAGAACACCAUGGCCAUGGCAGUGUGCAAUUCCUUUGCAUAACUGAUACAAAAAGCUCUACAAGAAAGUAAAGAAAGUUAUCUAUUGGCCCGAAACAGACCUAUCAAAAUUAAAAUGGAGUCCGCCAUCUGCUAUCUAAUGAAAAUUAACAAUAGCAUCCUCAAAAUAAUGACAUAAAGAUGAAUUGAUUCCAAAGCUACCAACAAAGUUAUGCUCUAGAUUUGGAGGGCCCCCUAAUUUGUACUUGAGUGUAUGCAAAAUACAGAACGCCAGCAGCAGUCGACAUUGAGUUUCAUCCAUUAUAGCACUUCUUAGUUCCUAAUUUAGUCUCCUGCAAGUAGGCUAGAGUAGUAGAGUUUGAAUAAUUAUUGACGAAUUCAAACCAACUACAAACGCAUACUACCAUAUGAUGUUCUGAUUUCACAUUUCAUCGGCAUUUAAAAUGGUUCAAUGUUUUCAUUUCUUCAAUUUAUUGUCAAGAUUAAUCAUGUCAAUUACGAAUUAAAAUUUACAGUGUAGUUCGCUCUGACUGCAUAUCAAUGUUCUGCACGUUUCCGAUGCAAAACUCAGAGGAAGCGCCCAAGACUCAGCCGACGUAGCAUCGGCGCAAAGCCAAGUGGAGCAGAGCAAAUCAGCCUCAAAACGAAUUAAAAUCGCUACCUUGACGACCUGCGUUGGGAGCGGCUUAGGGGCGGGUCCACGGCGGUAGGCGUCGACGAACUUCUUGAGGUCAGUGUCAAGGAACUCGAAGACGAGGUAGAGGACGGGCUUCCCUCCACCGCCGGCGCCCCCGCCCUUGGUGGCCUGCUCGACGGCAAGGAGGCGGACGACGUAGAGGGAGCUGGAGAGGAGGCGGAGGAGGGAGAUCUCACGGAGCGCGGUGGGCGGGAUCCCUUCGUCGUCCAUCUCCAGGCGGGUCUUCUUGAGCGCCACCACCUGGCCCGUCGCCUUGUCCUGCGCCUUGUACACCUUGCCGUAGGUGCCCUCCCCGACCUUCUCCAACUUCUCGUACUUCUCCAUGGUGCUUCCGACGGUCCGAGGUCGGCGUCGUCCCCCUCGAUGCGGCUUGUGUGAUGGGGGCGGAGGGAGGAGGCGCAAACCCUAGGUGGAUCUGGAAGUUUUGAAAUGGGGAAGAGAGGGAAAAAAGAUGGGAAGAAACGGGUGAAGCGGGUCUGCGACUCUGCGUGGCAGCCUAAGAAUGAAAGUGCCGAGUUGAAGAUGGGCUGGGCGCCUGGGCCGCUGCGUGUUUGCCCAUCCCCUCGCUCAAUCCCCUGAAAAAAAGAAUCAAUCCCCUCGAGUUAGGGUUCUCUCUACUCUCAGCGGCGUCCUACCGACAUUAGAGACUAUCCUCCCUUUGUGUCUUCUCCCCCAUUCUACACGGCUCAAACUGAUCAAGGGGCGCUCUUUUGUAGUGCUGCAUGGUCUUGGUUGGGGUUCUGACGGGCAUAGGGAAAUCUAGGGUUCCGCGGAAAAACUCGUAGGUUCAAGUUCGGCCUCGGUUUGUCACGCAUGUCGAACAAAGCUUCUGGAUCAAAGGCGCCGGUAGAGUACAUGGCAGUAACAGAGAUGAUGGAGGAAAUAGGGUUGGGGAUGAAGAUUUGGAUGAUGUGAUAUUUGAGGAGGUGGAGCCGCCGUGAUAACCCAUAAGUGUAAGGGAUCAGUUGUAGCAUUUUUGAUAAGUAAGAGUGUCGAACUCAACGAGGAGCUAAAGGUAUAAUUAAUAUUCUCUCAAGUUCUGUCAAACGUUGAUAUAACUCUACACACACUAAAUGUUUGCUUUACCUAGAACAAAGGGAUAAAACUACUUUACGAGAAUAAAAAAAUAGCUUUGUGAGAUAAUAAAAGAGUAGGUGUUGUGUUAAUAAAAGAUAAUGAAGUAAAUGGUUUUGAAAGAACAAAAAAGAAAAUGAUUGACCCUAGAUAACUGGAUAUGAAACGAUAGUGAUACUCAUCAUACUUAUAAGAAAGAAGCCUAAGCUAAUAUACUUUUUGUACUUGAGUCAUAUGUUCUUAUAUUGGAACUCUAGCAAGCAUCUGCAACGAUUGAGGUAAACCACAACCAUAGCACUAAGUUCUAAAUCCCAUUUAAUCCCAUAAGCAACAAUUCGCGAACUCGGGUUUAGGUUCCUAUCACUCCCACAACCCACUAUAAGCAAAUUAUUAACAUGUUGCAACACCCUACAGCGGGAACCCCACAUGUUUGUGCGAGAUGAUGGGCACCAAAGGACAACACCAAAAUAACAUACAACUCAUAUCAACCAUAGCAUAUCACAAUUAACGAUAGGACAAGAAGAAACUACUCACACAUAACAGAGAUGCAACACAUCAUCGGAAUCAAACACCAUGUUUAAGUAGAGAUUGCAGCGGGGUGAGAGAGAGUACACUGAUACGUUCAUUUUGCAUCAUGAUUUCCUACUGUUAUUUACAAUGUUUUUAUAUAUAAUAAUGCUUUUUUGAUUAUUUUUAAUGUCUUUUCUCUCAUAAUAUGCAAGGUUUACACAAAGAGGGAGAAUGCCGACAGCUGGAAUUCUGGACCUGAAAAAGCUACGUCAGAGUUACCUAUUCUGCACAUCUUCAAAUGAGCUGAAAUUUUACGAAGAAUUGUUUUGGAAUAUAUGAAAAAUAAUGAAGUAAAUGAGGGGGCCACCCUGGUGAGCACAAGACACCAGGGCGCGCACUGGUGGGUUGUGCCCUCCUCGGCCCACCUCCGAUGCCCAUCUUCUGGUAUAUAGGUCAUUUUGACCUAGAAAAAAAA
rnacentral:lncRNA from 1 species